rnacentral:piRNA from 1 species
GCAAAAUUCAGUGCCAAGUGUUGUGCUA